rnacentral:rRNA from 1 species
UACAGAGGUGGCAAGCGUUGUUCGGAAUUACUGGGCGUAAAGGGCGCGUAGGCGGUCGCCUAAGUCGGACGUGAAAUCCCCAAGCUUAACUUGGGAACUGCGUCUGAUACUGGGUGACUUGAGUUCGGGAGAGGAAUGUGGAAUUCCAGGUGUAGCGGUGAAAUGCGUAGAUAUCUGGAGGAACACCGGUGGCGAAGGCGGCAUCCUGGACCAAUACUGACGCUGAGGAGCGAAAGCCAGGGGAGCAAACGGG